rnacentral:rRNA from 1 species
GAGUUUGAUUCUGGCUCAGAAUGAACGCUGGCGGCAUGCCUAACACAUGCAAGUCGAACGAAGGCUUCGGCCUUAGUGGCGCACGGGUGCGUAACGCGUGGGAAUCUGCCCUCAGGUUCGGAAUAACAGCGAGAAAUUGCUGCUAAUACCGGAUGAUAUCGCGAGAUCAAAGAUUUAUCGCCUGAGGAUGAGCCCGCGUAGGAUUAGCUAGUUGGUGUGGUAAAGGCGCACCAAGGCGACGAUCCUUAGCUGGUCUGAGAGGAUGAUCAGCCACACUGGGACUGAGACACGGCCCAGACUCCUACGGGAGGCAGCAGUGGGGAAUAUUGGACAAUGGGCGAAAGCCUGAUCCAGCAAUGCCGCGUGAGUGAUGAAGGCCUUAGGGUUGUAAAGCUCUUUUACCCGGGAUGAUAAUGACAGUACCGGGAGAAUAAGCUCCGGCUAACUCCGUGCCAGCAGCCGCGGUAAUA